GCCAGGGCGCGUGGCCGGACCCUGGGAGCGCGUUCCCCGACUCUUUCGACUCUUUCGUAGCUCUUCGCGCUUUUCUGCCGAUCUUUGCCAGCCUCACAGCCAGUGGAAUUUUACCGCUGUUUUCAUUUCCCUGAGCUUGAUUAUUUUCCUAUGUUUAUUUGGUCCUUUGUAAUCUGUUACAGUAACAUGUUAAUGUCUUUUGGGUCACUCUUCUGCCAUCUCUUAGUGUCUUUUGCAUGUUGAUCAUGUAUAGCUCGUCUUAGGUGUAUUUUUUCCAGUUUAUUGUUGCAUUUUAGUGUGGCUUAUAGUUGUUUUGGACAACUAUAAAUGUUUAUGACAACAUUUAUAAAACUAUAGAAUGUUUUCACUUUUUACAAACGUUUAUGGUUUCUGCCUUUGGUGUCAUGCUUGGAAAUCUCUUCUCCACACCUUUACGAUAUAGAAAUCACGGCUUCAUUUCUUCACAGUUAAAUCUUUAAUCCAUUUAGAAGUCAGUUUGGCACAUGCUGUGAGGAAGAGCUCUUGGUUUCCAAAUGGCUAGCUUUUCAUGCAUCAUAAUGAUUGAUUUACGGGAAAGUUCCCCAGCCAGAACUCUAGGAGAACAGGGUUUUUGUAGCAUUUGCCUCUUUGCCCCCAGCUCCUGUGUGGUUACUGGUACAUAUUGAGUGAAUACAUCCAGUGUGUAUCUCAAGCAUUCACUGAAGUGGACAUGCCUCCACAGACCGAAAUAUUCUGCCUAUAUAUUCUCUGUAUUGCCAGCAGCAGGUCAGCAAGCAUUUUUCAAGAGGGUUGACUCUAGUCUACAUUAAAAUUGCUGAGCUGUUUAAAGGUUUAAUCCAGUCCUGCGGCUCUAGGUUAGUUAAUAAGUGAUCUUUUAGUGGACUCCCCCCACCCGAUCAAAUCAUAUCAUCAUCUAUUUUCUUCAUAGCACCUGUUCCAUAUGUAGUUAUGAUUUAUUCUGUGGCUCUGUGAGCACAGAUCCUGUUUCACGCAUCUAUCCCUACCUCCUAAACCAGUGCUUUUCUCACAAUAAGGACCUAAUAUGUCUGUCGAAGGAGUGAAAGAAUCGAGCACAAAUUGAUAUGGACAACUGGACAGUCAGCUGUGCCAAGGUUGACCCAUCCUAAAUCCCUCCUUCAGACCAGCCCGCAUCAGGCAGAAAAUCUGACCUGACUGGAGGCUGGACCAGCUUCUGGAGACCGGAGCAUAAAGCGCAUGUGUCCAGGAUGGGGUAGAGCUUGCCCUGGAAGUCAGCCUGGAACGUGUAGAGCGGCCGCAGGUCAUCGGGCCGGUCGGCAUCGAAGAAGGCGCCAGUCGCUCUUGCCGCCCACCACCACCUCCCAGUAGUGACGGCCGCAGGAGAAGCCCCGGCUGGCCAGCACGCAGCUAAACUCCCCAGGAGAAUCCUUAUCAAGUGCAAUUGUUUUAAUACCCUACGAGCCUGCUCAAGGACAAACUAUUCCAACUGACCUCUGGAUUACCUGCCAACUAUUCAGUUUACACCAAAACCACACAAACAACAUUCCCGGAUCAGAGAUCAUCAGUUUCUUUCCUCCCCUCUCCCCUUUCUCUUUUAUAAUGAACCCUAUUUGUGUCUUGGUUAGAUGAAAUCAGUUUAU